GUCUAACUUGCAAACAAACAUAAAAAUAGAUAAAUAAGGUAACACAUUAUAAGUUCUCAAUUAGUAAUCACGCAACAAAUUUGUAAUCUACCACUAUAAGUAGAAACAACCAAGAAGUCUCCUAUUUCAUCACUGUUAAAAAAACUUUAAGAGAACCAUUGACAUUGAAGUGGUGGCGAAACAACACCCUUCUAUCCGUCUGGUGGCGUUCGGCGUUCCGGCUUCUCCGUCAAGUGUGUGUGACCUGAAAAACGAAGGCAGGGCUUCCUCCCCCGUUUUACCUUCGGCGUGAGAAUUAGUUUAUAGACUUGGGAAAAAAAUGUGACUGGAAUUCAGAUGGCUAAGAAAAGAGAGAGAUCCUGUAUCACAUCCGGAAGUAUUUAUAGCUAUUGGGAGCUAGAUAACCGCUGGGCGGUCGUGGUGCCACGUGUCCCACGUUGACAUUCCUGCUAACCCCACGUUCUGAGUGGGAGCUCUCUAACUUCCCGCUUAGAGGUUGCGCCCGUAUUAACCACCAUGGAACUUAAUGAAUUCACUAGAGGUUUUAUGGCUAAGUGUUUGGAUAAUCGUAUAGGCAAUUCCAUACCAGUUGAAGACUUUGCGUGGAGGUAGAGCGACCUUGGGAGGGUUGACGGCCUCGCGUAGUGGUAGAGCGCCCCCUGGGGGUAGUGGUAGAGCGUCCCUGGGGGGUCGAUGGCCGUACAUGGUGGCAGAACACCAUUUGGGGAUAGUGGUAGAGCACUCCUUAAGGGUCGAUGGUCUUGCAUCGAAGUGCAGCGAUCCCUCUUGCUUAUCGCCGAGGGUGGCUUCCUCUACCAACCUAUAUCAUAAGCCCCUACCCCUUGUCAAUGUUUUCGACAAGGGGUAGCAAUUUUCUUUAUCUGGGUUGGUUUGAUUUUGUUUUUAAUUGAGUAGUUCGUAUUAACAAGUCGAGCAAUGCAAUCGAAAUCAAGUAGCAAUUUUACUGUACACAUGGCACCCCAUCAAUUAACAUCCUAGGCUUUCUCCAUUCUAAAGUAAUUUUUUCUCCUUUUUAAUCCAAAGUCUUGCUUUGAGUUUUUGCUCUCUUCAUCUUUUUUUGUUGCCAUGUAUAGGACUAUUCUUUCUUCUCCUUCCAAUGAGAAUAGUGAUGGGGGUGUAGUGACUCGAUCGGACCUUCAUCUGAGGGUACCGGAGGGGGUCCGACCGGCCCACGGGGUGGCCGACCAGUGAGUAGCGGGGCUAGUCCAUCGACCAGCCCCGUGGCUGGUUGAGCGUCUGCCAGCCUUCGGGCUGGCCAUCCCCCAGCUUCUCUUGAUCUUCGUGGCCCAUCCGGCCCCUCGACCCAACUCGCUAAUGAUUCGCCCCCUUCGUCCGGUAGAUCUCAUUAUGACAUUAAUAGUGAAACUCAUUCAUCGGUUCUCAGGCGUUUGUCCCAAAUUCCCCUAAGAGGCCCAAUAGUUCUACCAAGUUUCCAAACCAAAAUUUAGAAAUUGGGCGAGACCCGGCUGGUGAGGUUGUCCCUUUAGUAAUCCCAAAAAGUUAUAGUCUAUACAGUUCCCCCCCCUCCUUAAGUUGGAAAAAUGUCUACGUAAGUAUGACUGGGUUGAUGAUUACAUCUAUAGAGCCCCCAGUCCUAAAGAAAGACUCCCUGGUCCGACCCCCGCGAGGUAGCCGUGUACAAGGAUGCUAUGGAUGGGGGUUUUCGGUUCUCCAUUCAUCCCUUUUUUGUGUCAAUUUUUAAUGAGUUCCACCUUACUUCUAGUCAAAUAAAUCCCAACGCGUGGAGAAAGGCACUAUAUUUCCUAUUUGUUUGUCUCAGAAGGAAAAUAUCACUUUCCAUAGACCUUUUUAGGUGCGUCUUCGAAAUGCAUGAGCUGGUUCAGUGUAAUGCAUUCAUCUAUUUUACCACCAGAGUUGCAAUUUCCUAAAUUUAGAAAUUCGAAUAGCGGAUGGAAAUCCCAGUUCUUCUUCACUCAGCCUUCAGCAGGUCGGUUCUCUUUCAACACCAAUUGGUGACACCCCCAAAUUCCUCUCUUUAAUAGCCAAGUAGAAGUUACCCUCUUUCUAAAAGCUCAAAUCCAAGAGUUGGUUGAUGCACCGCCUCUCGCACCUGACUUAGGAUCAGUCUUAACCAUGAAGAACAUGUUGAUAGUGGGGAUGAGUCGUCCUACUAGUAGGUUGUUUCCGUCGAUUUUUUUUUUAUCGCAUGCACACACGCUCAUUUAUUAUUUUUUGCUUUUAGUUUUUCAGGACUAAUGAGUUUGGGUUUGUGCAUACCGAUAUGGACUUUGAUCUUGAUGAGGUAUUGAAGACCCUACCAGGAGGUGAUGAGGGCCCUGCUCCCGUUGAUGAGGCAGAGUUUGAUCUUGAAGGGAUUAUGGAUUCCAUGCCUGACCAGGGGUAGGGGGAUGGGACGGAUCCAUCACCUAUCCCUUCAAAGAGAAGUAAGGCGGCCGACCAAGGGGGAGGUCUCGAGCGAUCAACGAGACCUCCCAGCCUUCAGUCAAGCCUCGUGAGGUGGCUCCAGCUCCUAGGCCGGGUGCUUCCAGCCGUGCACGGUGUGAGCGCGAGGAUUCAUUUCCCAACUUUGGGUUUCCUCCCACCCGGGGCUAUCAUGAGAUGGGGGUGCUCAAGUCUUUGGUGACGCCCGCUCGAGCUAGAGCAAUUGCAGGGCGUAGUGCAGACGAUAUUGAAAGGGCUGCUGCUAUUUAUCUCCAGAGGGUGGUAGCCCUCCGGACUGACUCGCUGAAUCGAAUCGUCGCCUGGCCUCGAAGUUGAAGACUCUUACUGAAGAAAAGAAAAAGGAGGCUCAUCAUUACAAGAAAAAGAUAUCCUCCUUGAAGAAGUCUCUAGAGACGUUGGAUGCUCGAGCUCGUGAACAGGAGACGGAGAAUGACAACUUGCGUUUUGUUUUGGCUCGCGCUCUGGAAGAGGCGAUUGAGAGGUAUAAGGCUUCAGCUGAGUAUGCCAGAGAUCUCGAGGUAUCUGUGAAGGAGUAUAAGACAUCGUUUGAUUAUGCUAAGGCUUUGAAUUCAUAUGGGAGGAAGGCGAUGGCAGCGUCUAUCGAACUCUUCAAGGAGUGGAUUAUGGUCGAGAAUCCUUCUAUAGACCCAUCUGGUCUAGAUAGAUUUCUUGCGCAGCGCAAGGGGAAGGAGAGUGGAGCACAGUCAUCCAGCUCGCUUGGACGUUCAUCACGAGGUGGUAGUGGAGAUGUCUCCCCUUCGAGCUGAAGCAUUUCUUAGUUGUUGUUCCCUUUGCUAGCUUUUCCUUUUUUGUGUUUACUUUUGUUUAGUCUCAUUAUCUCCUACUUGUCCGGGGUGUGGGCAAGAAUUUCUCAUAUGUAUAAAU